AGCUCCCCCAAGCUUAACCUUUGCUCGUCCCUGAGCAAAGAUGGACUCAAGAGUUUCUGCAGUGAUUUCAUGCCUUAAAGGUACACAUGCGUUCAAACAAGAUAUCAUUUCUGGGUUAGGGUAAACUGUUAAGAUUUAAACUUACUCAUUUUUCCUUCCACCAUGGGGCUUGCAACCUUCACUUAUGUCUUGAGCAGUUAAAAGAUAGAGCGGUCUAGUCAAGCGCCAUGUCUCUUGUUCUUCGAUUAACUAUAGCUCUAGAGUUUUUGUAGAUUUUCAAAUAAAACUCAGAGAUUCCUUGUAUGACUCUCUCUAGUCUCUCUUUUUUAGUAUUUCUGGAUCCUUACCAAGGCAGUAAUGGUGUAUGCCUUAACUCAAAGUAUGUGGUAUUUUUGGUAUGAGGCAUAAUGAUCAUUGCCUUCUCUCUCACCCUACUCUAAUAAGGUUUUGAUAUCUAGAGCUCAUAGGUGGGAGACAGCUAAUACAUACUUACAAGACAUUUAUUGCAUAGUCAAACCAUGGAUCCAGAAGAACAAGUCAAUAAGUCAAAUCAAGAUGUGCAUGUGUGGCGAAUGAAUGGUGAUAAUGGUGAAAAUAAUGGUGAAAGUCUAAUUCUACUUUUGCUCUUUUGAGGGGGUACAUACCUUCCUUGCAUUUGAGGCUUUUGAGGGGAAUGAGAUGCUCUAUAUUUUAUUUUUCUUUUCUCUCAGGUGGGUAUCUUGUACCCCUAAUUCUACUGUCGGACACUUGUCCAUUUUUACCUCUCGUCUCACUUUUUGUUUUCUUCGAGGUUCCAGGCACUAGCCCCUUUUUAUUUCCUCGUAUUCACUUUUUUUCAAAGCACUCACCCUCCUAGAAUAAUGUAGCAAGUGGUAGUAACCAAAAUAUCUCGAGCAUUUAUUUUACGGGGAACAAUAGGGAUAGGAUAAUGUUUUUGGCUAUUCUCUCCUAGAUAGGAGUAGAAUAAUUUUGGGUGAAUCUGGAUAUGGAAAUGAUUGGAUGUAUGUGG
rnacentral:lncRNA from 1 species